GACAGCAUGGCCGAGUGGUUAAGGCGUCAGACUUGAAAUCUGAUUCCCUAGGGAUCGUGAGUUCAAACCUCACUGCUGUCG